rnacentral:rRNA from 1 species
UAAAAGUCGUAACAAGGUUUCCGUAGGUGAACCUGCGGAAGGAUCAUUAUCGAGUUUUGACUGGGUUGUAGCUGGCCUUCCGAGGCAUGUGCACGCCCUGCUCAUCCACUCUACACCUGUGCACUUACUGUGGGUAUCAGAUCGUGAAGCGUGCUCUUUUACCGGAGCUUGUGAAGCGUGUCUGUGCCUGCGUUUAUCACAAACACUAUAAAGUAUCAGAAUGUGUAUUACGAUGUAACGCAUCUAUAUACAACUUUCAGCAACGGAUCUCUUGGCUCUCGCAUCGAUGAAGAACGCAGCGAAAUGCGAUAAGUAAUGUGAAUUGCAGAAUUCAGUGAAUCAUCGAAUCUUUGAACGCACCUUGCGCUCCUUGGUAUUCCGAGGAGCAUGCCUGUUUGAGUGUCAUGAAAUCUUCAAUCUAUAAGCUUUUGUGGUUUGUAGGCUUGGACUUGGAGGCUUGUCGGCCUUGAUCGGUCGGCUCCUCUUAAAUGCAUUAGCUUGAUUCCUUGCGGAUCGGCUCUCGGUGUGAUAAUAUCUACGCCGCGACCGUGAAGCGUUUGGCGAGCUUCUAACCGUCUCACUUGAGAGACAACUUUAUGACCUCUGACCUCAAAUCAGGUAGGACUACCCGCUGAACUUAAGCAUAUCAAUAAGCGGAGGA